rnacentral:sRNA from 1 species
ACGCAUAAUGGUAAAAUUAGAUAUAUUUCACCAUAAUUACAUUAAAUAAGUUACCAAAUAGGAAUUAUGGUAUAAU